rnacentral:rRNA from 1 species
CCUACGGGCGGCUGCAGUGGGGAAUUUUGGACAAUGGGCGAAAGCCUGAUCCAGCCAUGCCGCGUGAGUGAAGAAGGCCUUCGGGUUGUAAAGCUCUUUCGCAAGGAAAGAAAACUUAUUCGCUAAUACCGGGUGAGGAUGACGGUACCUUGAUAAGAAGCACCGGCUAACUACGUGCCAGCAGCCGCGGUAAUACGUAGGGUGCGAGCGUUAAUCGGAAUUACUGGGCGUAAAGCGUGCGCAGGCGGUUUUGUAAGUCAGAUGUGAAAGCCCCGGGCUCAACCUGGGAACUGCGUUUGAAACUGCAAGGCUAGAGUAUGGGAGAGGGGGGUAGAAUUCCACGUGUAGCAGUGAAAUGCGUAGAGAUGUGGAGGAAUACCAAUGGCGAAGGCAGCCCCCUGGCCUAAUACUGACGCUCAUGCUCGAAAGCGUGGGGAGCAAACAGGAUUAGAUACCCCGGUAGUC